AGAAUCAACGCUGGCGGCGUGCCUCAGACAUGCAAGUCGAACGCGAAAGUCCCCUUCGGGGGACAAGUAGAGUGGCGCACGGGUGAGUAACACGUAGGUAAUCUACCUUCGGAUGGGGAAUAACAAUCGGAAACGGUGCUAAUACCGCAUAAUGCAGCGGCACCUAAUGGUGACAGUUGUUAAAGCGGGGGAUCGAAAGACCUCGCGUCUGAAGAGGAGCCUGCGGCGGAUUAGCUAGUUGGUAAGGUAAUGGCUUACCAAGGCUACGAUCCGUAACCGGCCUGAGAGGGCGGUCGGUCACACUGACACUGACAUACGGGUCAGACUCCUACGGGAGCAGCAGUCGGGAAUUUGGGGAAUGGGCGAAAGCCUGACCCAGCAACGCCGCGUGCGCGAUGAAGGCC
rnacentral:rRNA from 1 species